GACGAACGCUGGCGGCGUGCUUAACACAUGCAAGUCGAACGGAAAGGCCCUGCUUUUGUGGGGUGCCCGAGUGGCGAACGGGUGAGUAACACGUGAGUAACCUGCCCUUGACUUUGGGAUAACUUCAGGAAACUGGGGCUAAUACCGGAUAGGAGCUCCUGCUGCAUGGUGGGGGUUGGAAAGUUUCGGCGGUUGGGGAUGGACUCGCGGCUUAUCAGCUUGUUGGUGGGGUAGUGGCUUACCAAGGCUUUGACGGGUAGCCGGCCUGAGAGGGUGACCGGCCACAUUGGGACUGAGAUACGGCCCAGACUCCUACGGGAGGCAGCAGUGGGGAAUAUUGCACAAUGGGCGGAAGCCUGAUGCAGCAACGCCGCGUGCGGGAUGACGGCCUUCGGGUUGUAAACCGCUUUCGCCUGUGACGAAGCGUGAGUGACGGUAAUGGGUAAAGAAGCACCGGCUAACUACGUG
rnacentral:rRNA from 1 species